AUAUCUAGUAGUAACAAAUAUGUUUUAUAUAUAGAGUAUAUUCUAGUCAAUAUAAGUAAUUUACACUAUUUAGUCAGUAUAAUAAUAUAAGGUGGCUUCUCUGUUAAUGUUUUUAUAAUUCCAAUAGAACAACUAUUGAAAAUGUGGAUGCAUUAUGCUAGUCAAAAUUGGACCGAUGCUGAGGACCUCCAGUCAGCCGUAAAGAGAUUGAUGAACGAGCUAGAUUGUGUGGCAAUAGAUUGUCUUCACGCAUCUAAUUAUGACAUGAAUUACUGCUUCUCUGAAGAAAAAAUUAAACAGUUGGAGGAGGAUUAUGAAAAACAUCGCCGUGGUGCAUCAUUAUGUAGUAAUUAUUUAAGUGAAACUAUAAAUUUGGACAAUUUUUGUGUGAAAAUGGUGGAGAUAGGACUAAAACAAUUUGUUAUUUCUAAUUUGUUGGAUUAUCUACCAUAUGCAACUGUUGUAAAAUACAAAUUAGCAGCUCAAGAAAAUAAUGCUGGUAAUGAAGAUGAUAUAUAACAUAUCAUUAAAUUUUUAUGUAAUUUAUAUAUUAUCUUAAAAUUGUAUAAUAUUAUAUAUCUAAUAUUAACAAAUUUUAUUGUAUUAACUAUUUGUCUUUUAUUGUAAUGUGGAAUAAACAAUAUAAAUAUAAAUAUUUUUUAACUUU